UUUUUUUUAAAUUUCAAGUUUAAACUUUCUAUCACAUUGUGAGGAAAAAAAGUAUUUUUUAUGGUUACGUUUUAAAUUAUUACAUUAUAAUCUUUGAUGCAGCUAGAUUUCUUUUUCCUAAUGAUAAAUUAAUGGCUUCAACAUCAUUUACUAAAGUAUAUCAGUUUACUCAAUAAUUCAGAUCAUAGAAUUUAGCAUAUAUUAAAUUCCUACAUGUAUUUCUUCCUGUAUUUAUAUUUCUAGGCCAUAAGACUUUUGGCAGACGCUACUUUUUUUUUGAGUCUUGAUCAACCAUGUAAAUAAUUUUGGCUACCCUGCUAGAGAGACCAGAUGGAGAGUGUGACAUUCUGAAGGGUGAAAGUCCACAAGGGGUGGAAGACCACAGAAAAUGAAAUACCACGAGAAGUGAUUGGCUUCAAUAUUCCAGCUACCCCAGCACAGGAACAAGAUCAUGAGAGAAGCCAUUUUGGAUCCUCCAGCCUAGAUUGCAUGCACCUGACCAAGCCCAGCUGCCGGCACAUGGAGAAGAGAUAGGCAUUCCCACUGAGUCCUGGCAAACCAGCCCACAGAGUCAUAAGCACAUUAAGUGGUUAUCGUUUUAAGUCACUAAGUUAGGGUGAUUGUUAUACAGCAACAGAUAAUUAAUAUGAUUUGAAUUUUCUCAGUAAAGAACCAAAGAUUUAUUGAAAGUGAGAGAAGAUGAAUCAUUUCUGGGAAGUGGAAGAGAAUUGGAAGUAUUCGUUAAUAGUCAUAGGGAAUUUGCUAGAAGAACACAAUACAAAUUAAGGUAACCAUUCAGCACUAGGGCAGUGGCAUACAAGAUGGACAAUAAUAAUUUGUAAAAGAUAGGUGUAAUGAGACUAUUAUUUUUAUAAAUUCAAAUUCAAAUUUGGUGCAUGACCUGCAUUCUAAAAGCAAAAGUUUUAUAUUGAAAUAACUGUUAAUAACAAAAAAAUUUAGAGCAUCUUGAAACAAAAUGCAUUUGCCCUUGGUGUCAAUUGGCAGAAAGUGGCAUUGAUGCUUUUAUGUUCUAUGUGUUAUUUUGUCAGGGAGUCUGGGUGUUAAAUGCUACUGUAGAACAUUUACCAAGAGUUAGGAAAUAAAUAAUUUCUCUACAAAGCAGUGAAACAAUCUGCACAUAUCUUUGUACAUUAAAAAGUUCAGAUACUUUGCCAGCCACUGCAUUAUAAGAACGCUUACCACAUAUUCCUUACUUAACGAAGACUGAAACAUAGCUGGGGAAACCAAAAAAAAAAAAAAAAGUAAAGUUUUGAAUUAUAGUUUAAGGCCAUUGUGAAAAGGAUAUGUAAGGAUAUGUACUAUUGAUUAUAUUCAUUACUAAAUAAAUUUAGGAAAUACAUAUUAUUAGGUUUUGAGGCAAGAGGGAUCAUCUUAGGGUGGGAGUGAAGUUGUUCUGGAAGGCUUUGUAGAAAGGUUAGAAUUCAGCUUUUUGAAAAGAGUCAGUUUAGGAGGAACAAGGGUUGAGGUAAAGCUAGGAACUGGAUGGUGAAUGAAACCAAAACACACACCCCCCCACACUCUCCCCCAACACACACAACUGGAAUUCCAAUGUUUUCUGUUAUAUGAGUGAUUAAAGUAAUUUGACCUUUGACUGGAGGGCAAGUUUGAGAUGCUGAGUGUUUACAUAUAAGGCAGUAGGGAUACCUGCUAUUUAAACUGUAUCAUGAGGAGUUUGGAAAUCAGGUUUAUAGGCAACCAGGAGACACUGAGCAGGAAAUUUUUAGAACAAACAAACAAAAGGACCCAAAAUGUGAAAAGUUAGCCUAUAUACUAUGACUCAGCCAUCCCAAGAUUAGCAAAGAAAUCAGAGUUUAAUAUCAGGUAUUAGGGACAAACCCUGUCUCUAAAAUUCUCUGGAUUGCAGCCAUGUAAUGUACUGGCCCAGGGAUGGAGGGAAGGGAAAGGGAGGGAGCUUCCUCUUCGCCAAGAAUAUUUCCCUUGAUUUUGCCAUGUCGACUAAACUGAAUCUGAAACAUAACAAAGGCCUUUUCUUUGAAAUUUUCUUUACAUUGAAAAUCUUUUCUACAGGGAAAUCACCAUGGAACAAGAAAAUCUGGCUUCCUUGUCUGAGUCGCAGGAUCAUUAUAUCCAAAUGGAAACUUUCGGUUUCCCCUUCACCAGGUUCCAGCAUCUCACAUCUUUCUUACUUUGGGGUCCAAGGAAUGGGUCUCAGUGAUCCUGCAAAUACCACUUAGAGUCUAAGCCUUUGAGGUUUGAAAACUCUAACAUGAUUUCAUUCAUUACUUCAAUACCCUGGAUGAGUUCUCUAGUGGUGAAUUCUGAGAUUUUUAGUGUACUCCUUACCCAAGCAGUGUACACUGUACCCAAUAUGUUGUCUUUUAUUCUUCACCCCGCUCCAUGAGACCUUAGAGUCAGUCCAUUAUAUCACUCUGGAUGUUUUUGCAUCCUCAUAACUUAGCCCCCACUUAUGAGUGAGAACAUAAUGGUAUUCUGAAUUAUUUCACUUAGAAUAAUGGCCUCCAGUUGCAUCUAAGUUGUGGAAAAGACACUAUUUCAUUCCUUUUUAUGGCUGAGUAGUAUUCCAUGGUGUAUAUAUACCACAUUUUCUUUAUCUAUUCAUUGGUCAAUGGGCACACAGGUUGGUUCCACAUCCUUGCGAUUGUGACAGAUUCCAAAUGUGUAAA
rnacentral:lncRNA from 10 species